ACUUGCAUCAGCCAUUCCAACUGAUGCAACCCCUGGCCCUGACCCUGACCCUGCAGAUUCACCCAUUAUCCGAUUAUGCCUCAAUCGCUUGACAGCACGGUGCAACCUCUCCAACCGGAAAGACUCGCCAUCAAAGAACAGAACAGCAUCAUUAUCCUUGCAAUCCUCACUAGUGCCCUCGAAGGGUGCCUCGCUGAUUCUUAUCGAUGGAUGCUGGCUUGAACUCGUCUGACAAAGAAGGGGGAACAAUCCAAAUCAGAUGCAUAGCUUCAAACAUUGAACUCUCAGAAAACACAUUUUAUUGCAGUAAUAGUUUAAGCAACCAUAACUCUUGAAAGUAAAGAAAAAUACAAAUGUACCUAUGCA